GACGAACGCUGGCGGCGUGCUUAACACAUGCAAGUCGAACGGAAAGGCCCUGCUUUUGUGGGGUGCUCGAGUGGCGAACGGGUGAGUAACACGUGAGUAACCUGCCCUUGACUUGGGGUUAACUUCAGGAAACUGGGGUAAUAACCGGAAAGGGCCUCUUGUGGAUGGGGGGGGGUGGGAAGGUUUCGGCGGUUGGGGAUGGACUGGCGGCUUAUCAGCUUGUUGGUGGGGUAGUGGCUUACCAAGGCUUUGACGGGUAGCCGGCCUGAGAGGGUGACCGGCCACAUUGGGACUGAGAUACGGCCCAGACUCCUACGGGAGGCAGCAGUGGGGAAUAUUGCACAAUGGGCGGAAGCCUGAUGCAGCAACGCCGCGUGCGGGAUGACGGCCUUCGGGUUGUAAACCGCUUUCGCCUGUGACGAAGCGUGAGUGACGGUAAUGGGUAAAGAAGCACCGGCUAACUACGUG
rnacentral:rRNA from 1 species